UACGAAGGGGGCUAGCGUUGCUCGGAAUCACUGGGCGUAAAGCGCACGUAGGCGGAUUGCUAAGUCAGGGGUGAAAUCCUGGAGCUCAACUCCAGAACUGCCUUUGAUACUGGCGAUCUCGAGUUCGGGAGAGGUGAGUGGAACUGCGAGUGUAGAGGUGAAAUUCGUAGAUAUUCGCAAGAACACCAGUGGCGAAGGCGGCUCACUGGCCCGAUACUGACGCUGAGGUGCGAAAGCGUGGGGAGCAAUCAGG
rnacentral:rRNA from 1 species